rnacentral:RNase_P_RNA from 1 species
ACUACGAACCGGGUUAUCGUGCUAAUAAAAAGUUAGUAAGGAAAGUCCGGACAGCAUAGAGCAACACACCGGUUAAUAGCCGGUUCCGCUCUAAAGGCGGGAAGAUAGUGCCACAGAAAAUAACUGCCGAUGUUUGGUGGAGACACCAACCAUGGGUUAGGGUGAAAAUGUGAGGUAAGAGCUCACGGUUUCGAUAAGUAAUUAUCGUUACGGGUAAACCUUGUGUGCUGCAAUGCCACGUAUAUCAGCGUUUGAGGGCUGCUCGUCCGAGGCUGAUGGGUAGGCAGCAAGACCGUAACAGUAAUGUUGCGGCCAGAUAAAUGAUAACCAUCCAAUGUGUAAACACAGCGGUCACAGAAUCCGGCUUACAGGUUUGUAGUAACU